rnacentral:rRNA from 1 species
CACGUAGGGCGCAAGCGUUGUCCGGAAUUAUUGGGCGUAAAGAGCUCGUAGGCGGUCUGUUGCGUCCGCUGUGAAAACUCGGGGCUUAACCCCGAGCCUGCAGUGGAUACGGGCAGACUAGAGGUAGGUAGGGGAGAAUGGAAUUCCCGGUGUAGCGGUGAAAUGCGCAGAUAUCGGGAGGAACACCGGUGGCGAAGGCGGUUCUCUGGGCCUGUGCUGACGCUGAGGCACGAAAGCCAGGGGAGCAAACGGG